CAGUCGCCGCGGUAAUACAGAGGGUGCGAGCGUUAAUCGGAUUUACUGGGCGUAAAGCGUGCGUAGGCGGCUUCUUAAGUCGGAUGUGAAAUCCCUGAGCUUAACUUAGGAAUUGCAUUCGAUACUGGGAAGCUAGAGUAUGGGAGAGGAUGGUAGAAUUCCAGGUGUAGCGGUGAAAUGCGUAGAGAUCUGGAGGAAUACCGAUGGCGAAGGCAGCCAUCUGGCCUAAUACUGACGCUGAGGUACGAAAGCAUGGGGAGCAAACAGGAUUAGAUACCCGAGUAGUCCCUGUCUCUUAUAC
rnacentral:rRNA from 1 species